CUCUACUGGACGAUCUGUCCUGUAUGCACGGAAAAGUGAGCAUGUUUAAGAACGCUGUCUUCAAUAUAACAAGUACCGCAGAUUUAACAGAUGAAGAUUUAAUACAGAACGUUGCCAUUAUCGUGAUGGACGUUUGUAGAAUAUUUUGGGUCGAACAAAACAUCACCAGAGCAGUAUACAAGCUGGCACGUCAACUACGUCAACGAGAAAGCGAGAUCCAGUCUUCAGAUUUGUCGGAUGAUACCACGCGUGAACUGCUAGCGAGUCUC